GAUGAACGCUGGCGGCGUGCCUAAUACAUGCAAGCCGAGCGAACAGUUGAGGAGCAUUCCCUUCUGACGUUAGCGGCGGACGGGUGAGUAACACGUGGAUAACCUAUCUAUAAGACUGGAAUAACUUCGGGAAACCGGAGCUAAUACCGGAUAAUAUAUUGAACCGCAUGUUUCAAUUGUGAAAGACGGUUUUGCUGUCAAUUAUAGAUCGAUCCGCGCCGCAUUAGCUAGGUGGUAAGGUAACGGCUUACCAAGGCAACGAUGCGUAGCCGACCUGAGAGGGUGAUCGGCCACACUGGAACUGAGACACGGUCCAGACUCCUACGGGAGGCAGCAGUAGGGAAUCUUCCGCAAUGGGCGAAAGCCUGACGGAGCAACGCCGCGUGAGUGAUGAAGGUCUUCGGAUCGUAAAACUCUGUUAUUAGGGAAGAACAAAUGUGUAAGUAACUAUGCACGUCUUGACGGUACCUAAUCAGAAAGCCACGGCUAACUACGUG
rnacentral:rRNA from 1 species